AAGAAGGUGAACUACUGGCGACUCCGUUGCUUGUUAUCGAUAAUGAAUCCGUAUGAUCAGCCCUUUGUGUCCGCACUUGUUUUUUGCAAAUUGGUGUAGAGGAACGGCUUAGAUUUGAUGUCUAAGAAAAUAGAACUAUGAGCACUAGUGCCAGCUUGUGAGACAAUAGAUAAUUUUCUUUGGCGUUUGUGAUUAUGUGUGUGAUUAUGGAUUCUUUGAGUGGUUACGACUGAGCAAGGACCUACUCCUUCUUGAGAGGCUAAGUGGCCCACUGCCAGGCUAAUCCCACUCUGAUUACCGCCACCUCCACUGGCCACCAGCUUUGGACAUAAACUUGACAGGCCACUUCCCCCUGAAGAUUGUUGUCUAUUUGUCUCAUACCUAAAACAUCAUUAAAUAUACAACAUAAUUAUUACACCAUAUUUCCUUUUCUUUUUGUUAAAUUCUUCUUUUAAAUAUUAUUUUCUUUGUUAAAAAAAGACAAAGUUUAAAUUUUACGUUUAAAGUAUGUAGAAAGCCUUUAUUUUGUAAUACAAAAUAUAAAUACAAACUAUAGCAGAAAGUAUGAUUACACCAAAUUAAAGUCAUAUUUGUCAUCAUGAAAUGUUUCAUGUAUUACAUUGCGUUUUAUGAAUAUGAUAAAAAUUGGAAAAUGUUACACACACACAUAUAUUUUGCAAUCAAAUACCUUUUAUUAUGUAACUAUGAAGAAUAGUAAAUCUAAAUUAAGAAAUUAAUGUUUAGCCUCAUCUGUACUAAAUGUACUCGUACAUACACACCAACUAUGAAAUCGUUAUAUUAUGUAAUAUUGAAAUGCUAUGAAUAAUGGUUUGAAGUACUACUUAAUCUUAAAGGAGGCAAAAGUAUGAAAAAUGUUUGAAAAAUAAAUUUAAGAUAUACACAAAUCUAUAAUAAUGAUAAAAAUCCAAAACAUAAAAAGCUAAAUCAAUAGUUGUUGAUAAAUUAUUAUUUUUUCUUGAACAUUUAAAUGAUAAUAAAUAAUAAUUGAAUAGUUCUAUGUUGCAGUAUGACAAUAAUGUAAAUCAUAUAAUUACUAACCUUUGAGUACUUAUAAAAUUUCAUACUUGAAGUUCAGGGUCAGUAAUUCUGAAAAUAUAUUGGGAUUUAUACUUUUCCUGAUGAAAUUUUCUAAUUUCAUGUGGAAAAAAUUUCUUGAUUAGAUUUUAUAGUACUUCAGCAUUCACUAAUUUUCCAAUUAAUUUUAGCACAUAAAAUGUUUUAAUUAAUAUAUUUUUCUAAAGUAAUGUUUCUUAAAGAUUGUAAUAAUUUCAAUAUGUACAUGUACAGUACAGAUGAGAUAUACAAAAGAUUCCUGUGCAUGUAUAGUUUUAAUAUUUAAUAUAUUAUUAUAGUUUGUUAUAUUCAAUAAUUCAAAAAUUCAAAGUUAGAGGUACACAAACACUCUGUUCCUUAGAGACAUGUUUCAGAUUAUGUAUUGUAAUAGAAUAAUUAUUUAGAAAACGGAAUCUGUAAAAUAAUAUAUUAAAGAACAAUCUUUAUAAAGUGCAUUCCAAAUUAAACAUAUACAUAUAUAUUGAACAUGUA